AGCCUUCUGAAUCCAUGCCAAGAUUUCGUCAGGUAGCAAACAAUCAGAACUGAUGAGACCCUCGAAAUAAGUGAGGUG
rnacentral:pre_miRNA from 1 species